UACGUAGGGUGCGAGCGUUAAUCGGAAUUACUGGGCGUAAAGCGCACGUAGGCGGCUUGGUAUGUCGGGUGUGAAAUCCCCAGGCUUAACCUGGGAACUGCAUUCGAGACUGCAUUGCUAGAGUAUGGGAGAGGGAAGUGGAAUUUCCGGUGUAGCGGUGAAAUGCGUAGAUAUCGGAAGGAACAUCAGUGGCGAAAGCGACUUCCUGGACCAAUACUGACGCUCAUGUGCGAAAGCGUGGGGAGCAAACAGG
rnacentral:rRNA from 1 species